GUCCUCGUAGCGCAGUGGAUAGCGCGACUGCCUCCUAAGCAGUAGGUCGUGGGUUCGAAUCCCAUCGGGGACG
rnacentral:tRNA from 1 species